rnacentral:lncRNA from 1 species
UAAGUUUCUCCAUGACUUUUCAUGUUCGUGGUCCCAUUCCCAUUCUGUUCUCUUUUCUGUUAAUUGUCUAAGGGGUGCCAUGCGUUCUGAAAGGUGGGGUAUGAACUUUGCCAUGUAGUUAAUCAUUCCAUUAAAGUAACAGUAUGCAACAAUUGUACCUUAAAAUAACAGCUUGAAAAAAAUUGUGCCGCUACAAUGACUUUUAAUAUGGCGAUUUGCGCCUCCGCCAUUGCCAUCGGGGGUCUGUGGGGAAAUAACUCCGCUAUGUAGGAUUCUGAGGCCGCCCGAUCUGGGGGCGGAUGUACUUCGACCUGCUUUUCUGGCAGUGAUUACGCAAUGUCAUAUAGUGCCAGUCCACGCUCGCAGCUACAGUAUAAACGAGAAGCCAGCGAAGUCUCAUCAGUAUUCAUCAUGGAGAACGCACCAAAGAAACAGAAGAAGACUAUGUCUGAUGAAGCAAAGAAGAGAAAAAGAGAGGCCGACAGAGCAAGAGAUCGGACUAGGGUCACAAUCGGAACCGCUUUUACUCGUUGGAGAGAGCUGAAAGACACAUUUGGAUACAAGUUCGAUUCACAGCUAGGCAUCUUUCUGCUGGAUUAGGACAAAGAAUUCGCUAUGCAAGGUGUUCAACCGUUGGGCAAAGAAACCGAAGCGAUUGGUGUGCUAGAAUCUAGCAUGCACUCCUUGAGCAUUGCUGAAGAGCAGCAGCAUGACUCUCUGGAUGAGGAGGAGGCGAAUUAUAUGAGGAAUAGCAUUAUUGACAUGGAUGAUUGCUGGGAGGAUCCUAAUCAGAAGGGCUUGGAAGAAGAUUGGGACAGCUCUGAUGAAGACUAUAGUCCUUUUCUUCAUCUACGGUAUGUUUCAGUUUCUAGUUGCAUUUCAGGUUGAACUACUGCUAUGUUGAAGGGUGCAUCACAAAUAUUUUGGUCUUUCAGGAGAAGACAACGUUUU